rnacentral:misc_RNA from 1 species
AUUCUCAUCAACAUUCCAUAGUAAUAAACUUUGUUUUUCCCUUUCAUAUUUCACCUUCUCCAAAUCCAUUUUCUUUUGACUUACCAUUUCCCAAAAUAAAUCAUUUUUCCUUCGUAUAAACAAUUCAUUCAUCUUUUUCCUACAUCCCUCUAGCCUUGACAAACACAAUAUCAACUCAGACAAAUCAAGGUAACUCAAUCUCGAAACUCGGCCCGAUAACUCAACGAGUCGUAUCAUUAUAUGAUACUGACUCGAUCGAUAAUCCUCCGAA